UACAGAGGUCCCAAGCGUUGUCGGAUUCACUGGGCGUAAAGGGUGCGUAGGCGGUCGGGUAAGUCUGAUGUGAAAUCUCACAGCUUAACUGUGAAACUGCAUUGGAUACUAUCCGGCUCGAGGAAUGGAGGGGAGACUGGAAUACUUGGUGUAGCAGUGAAAUGCGUAGAUAUCAAGUGGAACACCAGUGGCGAAGGCGAGUCUCUGGACAUUUCCUGACGCUGAGGCACGAAAGCCAGGGGAGCAAACGGG
rnacentral:rRNA from 1 species